AGCAGCCGCGGUAAUUCCAGCUCCAAUAGCGUAUAUUAAAGUUGUUGCAGUUAAAAAGCUCGUAGUUGAAUUUCGGGGUUCAUACGUUGGUCGGGCUAUUUGGUCUGUACUUAUGUAAUGGAUUCCUACCUUCUGAAUAACCGGCAUGCCAUUAAUUUGGUGCGCCGGGGAAGCAGGACUGUUACCUUGAAAAAAUUAGAGUGCUUAAAGCAGGCUAUCGCCUGAAUACAUUAGCAUGGAAUAAUGAAAUAGGACGGCAUGGUUCUAUUUUGUUGGUUUCUAGGAUCACCGUAAUGAUUAAUAGGGAUAGUUGGGGGCAUUAGUAUUCAAUUGUCAGAGGUGAAAUUCUUGGAUUUAUUGAAGACUAACUUCUGCGAAAGCAUUUGCCAAGGAUGUUUUCAUUAAUCAAGAACGAAAGUUAGGGGAGUCGAAGACGAUCAGAUACCGUCG
rnacentral:rRNA from 1 species